UGGGGAAUAUUGCACAAUGGGCGCAAGCCUGAUGCAGCGACGCCGCGUGGGGGAUGACGGCCUUCGGGUUGUAAACUCCUUUCGCUAGGGACGAAGCUUUUUGUGACGGUACCUAGAUAAGAAGCACCGGCUAACUACGUGCCAGCAGCCGCGGUAAUACGUAGGGUGCGAGCGUUGUCCGGAAUUACUGGGCGUAAAGGGCUCGUAGGUGGUUUGUCGCGUCGUCUGUGAAAUUCCGGGGCUUAACUCCGGGCGUGCAGGCGAUACGGGCAUAACUUGAGUACUGUAGGGGUAACUGGAAUUCCUGGUGUAGCGGUGAAAUGCGUAGAUAUCAGGAGGAACACCGAUGGCGAAGGCAGGUUACUGGGCAGUUACUGACGCUGAGGAGCGAAAGCAUGGGUAGCGAACAGG
rnacentral:rRNA from 1 species